rnacentral:rRNA from 1 species
UACGAAGGGGGCUAGCGUUGCUCGGAAUUACUGGGCGUAAAGGGCGCGUAGGCGGACAGUUUAGUCAGAGGUGAAAGCCCAGGGCUCAACCUUGGAAUUGCCUUUGAUACUGGCUGUCUUGAGUUCGGGAGAGGUGAGUGGAAUGCCGAGUGUAGAGGUGAAAUUCGUAGAUAUUCGGCGGAACACCAGUGGCGAAGGCGACUCCCUGGCCCGAUACUGACGCUGAGGCGCGAAAGCGUGGGGAGCAAACAGG